ACUGAGACACGGUCCAGACUCCUACGGGAGGCAGCAGUAGGGAAUCUUCCGCAAUGGGCGAAAGCCUGACGGAGCAACGCCGCGUGAGUGAUGAAGGUUUUCGGAUCGUAAAACUCUGUUAUUAGGGAAGAACAAAUGCGUAAGUAACUGUGCGCAUCUUGACGGUACCUAAUCAGAAAGCCACGGCUAACUACGUGCCAGCAGCCGCGGUAAUACGUAGGUGGCAAGCGUUAUCCGGAAUUAUUGGGCGUAAAGCGCGCGUAGGCGGUUUCUUAAGUCUGAUGUGAAAGCCCACGGUUCACCCGUGGAGGGUCAUUUGGAAACUGGGCAAACUUGAGUGCAGAAGAGGAAAGUGGAAUUCCCAUGUGUAGCGGGGGAAAUGCGCAGAAAUAUGAAGAACCACCAGUGGCGGAAGGGGGACUUUUCUGGUCUGGUAACUGAACGCUGGA
rnacentral:rRNA from 1 species